GGUGAUGACAGCUCCGUGAGGGUGGAGAUAAUACAUCUCUUGUCAUUUCAGCAACAAGGAAAGAAAUCAGUGGUAGAAUGAGAGUGAUUGAUAUCGCCAAGAUGAGUUUGUUGUUAUAGCCAUAUCCUGGAACUCCUUUAGUGAGCUAAAAAAGGGAAAGAAUAAUUAAAAAACCACCAAAGAGAUGGAAAGAAUGAGAUCUAACUAUUCAAAACUCCACCCUCCCAAGUAGGGAUUUUGAGGUGGCAGAAGUAGAAGGCAUGCCAAUAUACUGUUUGAAGACAGAAGAGACCGCAGCCUUGUGCGUCUGCGUGAAGGAAGGCUCGGUGUGGAAGGAGCUUCCCACAAACUUCCGAGGCCUCUGCACCACGUCAAACUGUGUCAUUUCACUCGGGAUUGGUUUCCCAAGCGUUCUUUCUUCGGCCACUUUCUUCGCUGUCGGCCAGAUUUCCCUCUGAGAAAUAAGGCAAUAUGUAAUUAAGUGCACUAAUGACAUCGCUUUCAUCAUUGAAGUCCAUCUGGUCACUCGUGAAGCCUGACAAGCCGACGCCAUUUUUAUUUGCGGAUACCUCUGGC